GAGUACGAUCAAGAGCCAAUGUUGUUAUUGGAGCAUCAAAUGGUUCCAUAAGCAUUAGAAUCGACCCGCUCUCGAUCAAGGUUAGGCUUGGAUCGUAUGGACAUAAAAAUCCUAAAAUAUGAAGUUAAAAUUUAAAAAGCUACCCAAGUGUUCUUGUAGGAGAUCUCACAAUAUUUUUCUUUUUUCUUUUUUUUCAAGAAAUCUUACAUGAUAGUAA
rnacentral:lncRNA from 1 species